rnacentral:rRNA from 1 species
UACAGAGGUCUCAAGCGUUGUUCGGAAUCACUGGGCGUAAAGGGUGCGUAGGCCGCGGAGUAAGUCGGGUGUGAAAUUUGAGGGCUCAACCUUCAACUUGCACCUGAUACUGCUUCGCUAGAGACCUGGAGAGGAGCUUGGAAUUCUCGGUGUAGCAGUGAAAUGCGUAGAUAUCGGGAGGAACACCAGUGGCGAAGGCGAUCAUCUGGGGUUGUUCUGACACUGAGGAGCGAAAGCUAGGGGAGCAAACGGG